UACAGAGGAGCCAAGCGUUGUCCGGAUUGACUGGGCGUAAAGCGCACGCAGGCGGGUGCGCGCGUGGGGUGUGAAAUCUGGCCGCUUAACGGCCAGGCGCCAUCCCAUACGGCGCGUCUGGAGUGAUGCAGAGGUCGAUGGAAUUGCCGGUGUAGUGGUGAAAUGCGUAGAGAUCGGCAGGAACACCCAGGGGGAAACCAGUCGACUGGGCAUCUACUGACGCUGAGGUGCGAGAGCGUGGGGAGCGAACCGG
rnacentral:rRNA from 1 species